rnacentral:rRNA from 1 species
ACCGCUAUUGGAGUUCGAUUAAGCCAUGCGAGUCGAGAGUCUUCGGGACUCGGCAGACUGCUCAGUAACACGUAGAUAAUCUGCCCUUGGGUGGGGGAUAACCUCGGGAAACUGAGAAUAAUACCCCAUAGGUCUAAGAUGCUGGAAUGCUUUUAGACUAAAAACUGAGGUGCCCAAGGAUGAGUCUGCGGCCUAUCAGGUUGUAGUGAGUGUAAUGGACUCACUAGCCGACGACGGGUACGGGCCUUGAGAGAGGUUGCCCGGAGAUGGAAUCUGAGACACGAUUCCAGGCCCUACGGGGCGCAGCAGGCGCGAAAACUUCACAAUGCGGGAAACCGCGAUGAGGGAACUCCAAGUGCUAAUACAUUGUAUUAGCUGUUUAAUAGCCUAAAAAGCUAUUAGAGUAAGGGCUGGGUAAGUCUGGUGCCAGCCGCCGCGGUAAUACCAGCAGCCCAAGUGGUGAUCGUUAUUAUUGGGCCUAAAGCGUCCGUAGCCGGUCUAGUAAAUCCUUGGAUAAAUCGUACAGCUUAACUGUACGGCUCCCGAGGAGACUGCUAGACUUGGGACUGGCCGAGAGGUCGGAGGUACUCCAGGGGUAGGGGUGAAAUCCUGUAAUCCUUGGGGGACCACCAGUGGCGAAAGCGUCCGACUAGAACGGGUCCGACGGUAAGGGACGAAGCCCUGGGGCGCGAACCGGAUUAGAUACCCGGGUAGUCCAAGGUGUAAACGCUGCGGGCUUGGUGUUGGGGGUCCUACGAGGGCGUCCAG